AUCCAGAUGACGAAUCCAAACUGGGACGAAAUGCGCAUCCUGGAU
rnacentral:hammerhead_ribozyme from 1 species